GACGAACGCUGGCGGCGUGCUUAACACAUGCAAGUCGAACGAAGAGCGACGGAAGCUUGCUUCUAUCAAUCUUAGUGGCGAACGGGUGAGUAACGCGUAAUCAACCUGCCCUUCAGAGGGGGACAACAGUUGGAAACGACUGCUAAUACCGCAUACGAUCUAACCUCGGCAUCGAGGAUAGAUGAAAGGUGGCCCCUACAUGUAAGCUAUCACUGAAGGAGGGGAUUGUGUUUGAUUAGCUAGUUGGAGGGGUAACGCCCAACAAAGGCGAUGAUCAGUAGCCGGUCUGAGAGGAGGAACGGCCACAUUGGAACUGAGAAACGGCCCAGACUCCUACGGGGGGCAGCAGUGGGAAAUCUUCCGCAAUGGACGAAAGUCUGCCGGAGAAACGCCGCGUGAGUGAUGACGGCCUUCGGGUUGUAAAGCUCUGUUAAUCGGGACGAAAGGCCUUCUUGCGAAUAGUGAGAAGGAUAGACGGUACAGGAAGAGAGAGCCACGGAUAACUACG
rnacentral:rRNA from 1 species